UUGCGAGCAUACAUCACUAGAUGACUAAGUGGACAUGUGUUCCCUUUGUAAUUUUCAAAGUCAGGCACUUUGAUCUUCACCGGGAUCUUGACGUUGGGCACUAAACACAACUCAGUUGAGUAAACAUCUUGCGAGCAUACAUCACUAGAUGACUAAGUGGACAUGUGUUCCCUUUGUAAUUUUCAAAGUCAGGCACUUUGAUCUUCACCGGGAUCUUGACGUUGGGCACUAAACACAACUCAGUAACACUCUUUCCAAACAAGUCCUUACCCCUUAGCGUCUUCAAUUCCUUGCGCAUCU
rnacentral:lncRNA from 1 species